rnacentral:rRNA from 1 species
CCUACGGGGGGCAGCAGUGGGGAAUAUUGCACAAUGGGGGAAACCCUGAUGCAGCAACGCCGCGUGAGCGAAGAAGGCCUUCGGGUCGUAAAGCUCUGUCCUAAGGGAAGAAUAAUGACGGUACCUUAGGAGGAAGCCCCGGCUAACUACGUGCCAGCAGCCGCGGUAAUACGUAGGUGGCAAGCGUUGUCCGGAAUUAUUGGGCGUAAAGCGCGCGCAGGCGGUCUUUUAAGUCUGAUGUGAAAUCUUGCGGCUCAACCGUAGUAAGCCCUUGGAACUGAAUGGCUUGAGUGCAGGAGAGGAGAGUGGAAUUCCUAGUGUAGCGGUGAAAUGCGUAGAUAUUAGGAGGAACACCAGUGGCGAAGGCGACUCUCUGGACUGUAACUGACGCUGAGGCACGAAAGCGUGGGGAGCAAACAGGAUUAGAUACCCUGGUAGUC